rfam:Camelus ferus unplaced genomic scaffold scaffold348, whole genome shotgun sequence.
GAGGGUAUAGCUCGGUGGCAGAGCGCAUGCUUAGCAUGCACGAGGUCCUGGGUUCAAUCCUCAGUGCCUGCA